rnacentral:rRNA from 1 species
CAACCCUGCCCUUCGGAUGGGGAUACAGCCGGAAACGGCUGCUAAUACCGAAUACGAUCUUUUCGUCGCAUGACGGAAAAGAAGAAAAGGAAUGGCCUCUAUACAAAGCUAUCGCCGAAGGAGGGGUUUUGCGUCUGAUUAGCUGGUUGGAGGGGUAACGGCCCAACAAGGCGAUGAUCAGUAGCCGGUCUGAGAGGAUGAACGGCCACAUUGGGACUGAGACACGGCCCAGACUCCUACGGGAGGCAGCAGUGGGGAAUCUUCCGCAAUGGACGAAAGUCUGACGGAGCAACGCCGCGUGAGUGAAGAAGGUCUUCGGAUUGUAAAGCUCUGUUAUACGGGACGAAAAAGACGGAUGCCAACAGUAUCCGUCCGUGACGGUACCGUAAGAGAAAGCCACGGCUAACUACGUGCCAGCAGCCGCGGUAAAU